rnacentral:rRNA from 1 species
UACGGGGGGGGCAAGCGUUGUUCGGAAUUACUGGGCGUAAAGGGCUCGUAGGUGGCCAACUAAGUCAGACGUGAAAUCCCUCGGCUUAACCGGGGAACUGCGUCUGAUACUGGAUGGCUUGAGUUCGGGAGAGGGAUGCGGAAUUCCAGGUGUAGCGGUGAAAUGCGUAGAUAUCUGGAGGAACACCGGUGGCGAAGGCGGCAUCCUGGACCGACACUGACGCUGAGGAGCGAAAGCCAGGGGAGCAAAGCGGG